rnacentral:misc_RNA from 1 species
AUCCGUUUCAUUUUUGCCCCAAGAUUGAGCUUGCUUUUCUUGGGCACGACCCUUGGUCCCUGUGUUGCCUUCCCAUCRUAUGGAAAAUUUCRUGAGAUAGCCCCGCCCCGCCACUUUCCUCCUUGUGGCUYUGCGGCUACAAAGCGAACCUCAAAAGCAGUCCCCGUGUCCCGGACAUAUCCUCUGACUUUUGUUGUGGCUAUCUCGGUCCAUAGGAAAACUGCUUGCACUCUCGGAUAUGGAAAAUUAAGCGGACAUGGGGGAUCUUGGCCUUCGGUUGCUCCAGUCAAGUCCCUCGAUAGGAAUGAC